UGCUAAUGACAAUGGCUCACUGGUAGAGCAUUUGCUUUGCAUACAGAAGGUCCCAGGUUCAAUCCCCGACACUUUCAGGUAA